GGGGCCUUCAUCUCCCUGAAAGUUACAUUCAUUUAUUUCAUAUUGAUUUUACAAAUUUUAUGAAAAAUAACUGGUAACUCCAGGUUCAUCACCCACUAACAGUUCAUAAACCUGGACUGAUAGUUUAAUUCUGUUCCCUUCUAUUCAGUUAUGAACCUUCUACACAUUAGAAACUGUGGGGACAUAGAAAUAGGGUCUUCCACAAUUAGCAUAUAUAUCCUAGUGAGAGCAUAAGACAUAUAAAGAACAGCAUAAGCGAAAAUGACAUUCCAUCAGAAAAGUAUAAACAAGUGCUGUAAAUUUCAAAAGUGAGGGAGAUCACAUUUGCACUGGGGGUCAGGAGAAGUUUCUUAAAGAAGGUCACUAUCAAGAUAGACUUUGCAACACUGGAUUUUGGCAAACACAAGGGCAUGUACAGUAGAGGAUGCCAUACUGUAGAAAACAGCCAAGCUAAGGUCUGAGGACAGGCAAACAAGAGAGGUCUUCUGUGGGAAUGUCCUCCCCAAGGGGUGCAACAGGUGAACUCCACUUUUCCCACAUAUGCAGAAGAGAAGCCUGGUGAGAUGCAGGGAGGCGCUGUGACCAAGUUCUACUUCAGGAUCAUUUUCCGAACUCAUCAAGCCACUUUCACCAUGGGUUGUAGAUAGAUAGGAAAAUAAAAGUAGAUAAAGUUUGAAAACUACUGUGUAAACGGAAAGUGUAGGAUUUUUGUUUUUUUAAACAAUGGACUUUUAUCCUGUGGAGCGUCCUUCCUGAACCCUGAUUCUUGUGAGGGCCCAUGUCUCAGAUGUGAGCAGCACGUUGUAUUUCACUCACUACACUCAUUCUUUCUAUAGGAACCAUAGCAUUUACUCACUGCAUGAGUGUGAAGUAGGAAAGCUGAGUGAAGGAUAUCUUCAUGUACGCGAAGAUCUUGAUGUCCAUCUUAAUUAUAUUGAUGAAUGGCUAUUUUGUUUUUAAAGUGUCUGUUUCUGUAUCCAUGCCCAUUGUGACUGUCCUUUAUUUGCUGACCAAUGUGGCUUACAAUGUCAUCUUACAUAUGCCUUCUUUCCCGAAGCUGUUGCUAUGACAUUUGGUAAUAAGGUCAAAAGCCAUGUUCAGGGACUAAUUCCUAUUACAGUGGCCAUGGCUUGUGUCAGUGAACUGAACUCAAUCAGUCAUUACAGCAUCCAGAGCAUCUAACUGAUGGCAGCCAAAGCCUCUCAUUCUUCACACCCAGUUUUCAGGCUCCUUUAUGUGGGCCCAAAGGAAGGGCACCUUCCCUUUGGUUUAAGCAUGAUCCCUGUGGAAUGAUUCACACCGGUCCCUGCUCUUCUCUCCAAACUAAGACUCUUCUUUCCUGUAGUUUAUUGCUUGUGUACCCUCUCUAUGAGAUACAGUCAACUCCUUAAUUGGAAUUGGAAUUUAUCUGGAAUUCCUGCAUAUUUCUUAAGAGUAUAUUUAUCAGCAAAAAUGACCUUCAAAUUUACAAAGACUAUGGUAAGAAAACAAACUCAACUUUGUUUCCAUUGCACUCUGUGACUUGCAAUGCCAACCAUGUAAAUGGAA